rnacentral:rRNA from 1 species
UACGUAGGGGGCAAGCGUUGUCCGGAUUUAUUGGGCGUAAAGGGCGCGCAGGCGGCGCUUCAAGUCCGUUGUGAAAUUUCAGGGCUUAACCCUGACGGGUCAACGGAAACUGAAGGGCUAGAGUGCAGCAGAGGAAAGCGGAAUUCCCGGUGUAGUGGUGAAAUGCGUAGAUAUCGGGGGGGAACACCAGAGGCGAAAGCGGCUUUCUGGGCUGUAACUGACGCUGAGGCGCGAAGGCUAGGGGAGCAAACAGG